UACGUAGGGUGCGAGCGUUAAUCGGAAUUACUGGGCGUAAAGCGUGCGCAGGCGGUUUUGUAAGCCAGAUGUGAAAUCCCCGGGCUUAACCUGGGAAUGGCAUUUGGGACUGCAAGGCUUGAGUGCGGCAGAGGAGACUGGAAUUCCUGGUGUAGCAGUGAAAUGCGCAGAUAUCGGGAAGAACACCCGUGGCGAAGGCGGCUCUCUGGGACGGUACUGACGCUGAGACGCGAAAGCGUGGGGAGCGAACAGG
rnacentral:rRNA from 1 species